rnacentral:misc_RNA from 1 species
GGAAGUAAAAGUCGUAAACAAGGUCUCCGUAGGUGAACCUGCGGAGGGGUCAUUACAGAGUUCAUGCCCUACCGGGUAGAUCUCCCACCCUAUGUUAUUAUUACUUUGUUGCUUUGGCGGGCCGUUAGGCUCCGGCCCGACUACCGGCCCCGGCUGGUAAGCGCCCGCCAGAGGACCCAAAACCCUGAAUAUUAGUGUCGUCUGAGUACUAUAUAAUAGUUAAAACUUUCAACAACGGAUCUCUUGGUUCUG